rnacentral:rRNA from 1 species
UACGUAGGGUCCGAGCGUUGUCCGGAAUUACUGGGCGUAAAGAGCUCGUAGGUGGUUUGUCGCGUUGUUCGUGAAAACUCACAGCUCAACUGUGGGCGUGCGGGCGAUACGGGCAGACUGGAGUACUGCAGGGGAGACUGGAAUUCCUGGUGUAGCGGUGGAAUGCGCAGAUAUCAGGAGGAACACCGGUGGCGAAGGCGGGUCUCUGGGCAGUAAACUGACGCUGGAGGAGCGAAAAGCGUGGGGAGCGAACAGG